GAGUUGUGGUCUCUGCAGGGAGGCAUCGCCUGAUUGGACACUCUGGACAAGACUACCUCACCUGCAGGAGGCCGGCGGAGUGCUCACCUCCUCCCGCACCGCUCCAGCAGCGGCUCCUCGUCCGUCACCUUCCCGCUGCUGCUGGGGUGUUCCCGACUGCUGCGUAGCCUCCGCCGACGGUGAAACCUCCGAUACCUCCGAUCCCUCCGCAGCCUCCCCCC